AGAUUGAACGCUGGCGGCAUGCUUUACACAUGCAAGUCGUGCGGCAGCGCGGGGGCAACCCUGGCGGCGAGCGGCGAACGGGUGAGGAAUACAUCGGAACGUACCCCGGAGUGGGGGAUAACCCAGCGAAAGUUGGACUAAUACCGCAUAUGCUCUGAGGAGGAAAGCAGGGGGACUUCGCAAGAGGCCUUGCGCUCUGGGAGCGGCCGAUGUCCGAUUAGCUAGUUGGUGGGGUAAUGGCUCACCAAGGCGACGAUCGGUAGCUGGUCUGAGAGGAUGAUCAGCCACACUGGGACUGAGACACGGCCCAGACCUCCGUACGGGAGCAGCA
rnacentral:rRNA from 1 species